UCAGUCCACACAGUGGGCAUCCUACUGCAGAGGGAAUAUGUGGAGGAAACUCAUCUGAUCCAACCAGCCUCCAGGACACGAGGGCCUACAUAAGAGUUGCAGAUAGUGUAAUCUGUCUGAUGGAGCCCUCUGCCAUAACAGACCUCCAUGCAGUUGAGGAUGAAGACACCUUCUCAGGUGGCAUAUUGUGUCUCUGACUGCUCUUCCAUCUUAUGCAUCAGCGGGGGUCAGGAUGUUCAUCAUCAGGUGCAUUCAGUGGCUGAGUUGGACAUU